rnacentral:snRNA from 15 species
AUACUUACCUUGCUGCAAUAUUGGGGCGCUCAAGAUGGCCUCUAUUACAGAUUGGUCCCUGCAUUGCACAUCGCGGCGGAACAGUUUGUUCAAUGGGUUUCGGCUCAUUGAGCGGCGUAUUCUUUGGCACUUUCCUCUCAUUGAGAGAC